rnacentral:rRNA from 1 species
UGAGUAACCUGCCCUUAACUCUGGGAUAAGCCUGGGAAACUGGGUCUAAUACCGGAUAUGACUCCUCAUCGCAUGGUGGGGGGUGGAAAGCUUUAUUGUGGUUUUGGAUGGACUCGCGGCCUAUCAGCUUGUUGGUGAGGUAAUGGCUCACCAAGGCGACGACGGGUAGCCGGCUGAGAGGGUGACCGGCCACACUGGGACUGAGACACGGUCCAGACCUCCGUACGGGAGGCAG